rnacentral:piRNA from 1 species
GGUGGUUUCAGGUAUGCCAUGCAUGUC